CAGUCAUCAGCACUCAAAACAGACCACUGACCAUGGACUUUGGUCUCAGCUUGGUUUUCCUUGUCCUUAUUUUGAAAGGUGUCCAGUGUGAGGUGCAGCUGGUGGAGACUGGGGGAGGCUUAGUGCAGCCUGGAAGGUCCCUGAAACUCUCCUGUGUAGCCUCUGGAUUCACAUUCAAAAGCUACUGGAUGUACUGGAUCCGCCAGGCUCCAGGGAAGGGGCUGGAGUGGGUUGCAUCCAUUAGUAAUGGUGGUGGUAGCACUUACUAUCCAGACUCCGUGAAGGGCCGAUUCACUAUCUCCAGAGAUAAUGCAAAAAACACCCUAUACCUGCAAAUGAACAGUCUGAGGUCUGAGGACACAGCCACUUAUUACUGUGCAAAAGACACAGUGACUAGAAGAUUCUUUUCCAAUAAGGGUAAAGGACCUGUUGUCACUAUCAAAAAGAAGUGGGUGAGAGGUACACACCCUAAAAAUGCAACUAAGUGGUGGGGUCUGGUGAGGAAGGAACCUCCCUCAAUGAAAGCAGGAAGAAACACAGUGAGGGAGGUCCAUUUUGAGCCUGAACAAAAAUUUCGCUACAGAGAUACUCAGGAUACUCAGGAUGGCAGUGAAGAUCAACAAGAAAAUCCCAGGAUCACUUCAGACUCUAAGAAGUGUUAG